rnacentral:rRNA from 1 species
CGGAGAAAGCUUUAUGCACCAUUGGAUGAGCCUGCACUUGAUUAGUUAGUUGGUAGGGUAAUAGCCUACCAAGACUUUGAUCAAUAGCUGAUUUGAGAGGAUGAUCAGCCACAUUGGGACUGAGACACGGCCCAAACUCCUACGGGAGGCAGCAGUGGGGAAUCUUGCACAAUGGAGGAAACUCUGAUGCAGCGAUGCCGCGUGAGUGAAGAAGGCCC